GAUGAACGCUGGCGGCGUGCCUAAUACAUGCAAGUCGAGCGAACAGACGAUGAGCUUGCUCCUCUGACGUUAGCGGCGGACGGGUGAGUAACACGUGGAUCACCUACCUAUAAUACUGGGAUCACUUCGGGAAACCGGAGCUAAUACCGGAUAAUAUAUUGAACCGCAUGGUUCAAUAGUGAAAGACGGUUUUGCUGUCACUUAUAGAUGGAUCCGCGCCGCAUUAGCUAGUUGGUAAGGUAACGGCUUACCAAGGCGACGAUGCGUAGCCGACCUGAGAGGGUGCUCGGCCACACUGGAACUGAGACACGGUCCAGAGUCCUACGGGAGGCAGCAGUAGGGAAUCUUCCGCAGUGGGCGAAAACCUGACGGAGCAAGGCCGCGUGAGUGAUGAAGGUCUUCGGAUCGUGAGGCCCGGUUAUUAGGGGAGAACAAAUGUAUAAUGAAAUGCAGAGGUCGUGACGGUACCUAAUCAGAAAGCCCCGGCUAACUACGUG
rnacentral:rRNA from 1 species